rnacentral:rRNA from 1 species
GACGAACGCUGGCGGCGUGCUUAACACAUGCAAGUCGAGCGGUAAGGCCCUUUCGGGGGUACGACGAGCGGCGAACGGGUGAGUAACACGUGGGUGACCUGCCCUCAGCUCUGGGAGUAAGCCCGGGAAACUGGGUCUAAUACCGGAUAUGACUUCAUGACGCAUGUUGUGGAGUGGAAAGCCUUGUGCGGCUGAGGAUGGGCCCGCGGCCUAUCAGCUUGUUGGUGGGGUGANGGCCUACCAAGGCGACGACGGGUAGCCGGCCUGAGAGGGCGACCGGCACACUGGGACUGAGAUACGGCCCAGACUCCUACGGGAGGCAGCAGUGGGGAAUCUUGCGCAAUGGGCGAAAGCCUGACGCAGCGACGCCGCGUGAGGGAUGAC